AGAAACUGAGAUCAACCGAUGGUGUUCUCAUCAGUUUCACAUUUUGAUAUUUUUGACCUCAGUAGCAACAAUAUUUAGUGACAAUACGGCGGUGGGUUCAGUUUGCUAACAUUUUUAUCUUCAACUAUCUAUCGCCACAUUUUCAAUCGUUUAUCAUCUUCCCAAUAUUUUGCAAAUUAUCAAUUUUGGCUGAAUCCUAAACACAUCAAAAAUGGAUAAGUUUGACGAGAGAGAACUGCUGAACUACGACACAUAUGACGAUUAUUUGGAUUCAUUUGUGCAAAGCGACGACAUGUUUUAUCUGAGAAACAGUGAAAUGGCUCGUAUGGUCGCAGCGUUAGGAUUAAGAUCAUCGACUGAAGUUCUUACCAAAAAGCAAUUCUACCACAAAAGAGAAAUCGUUCGAGAGUCAUUGUUCCCACGCCGCAAGCCUCACAUUUUGUUCAGCUCUCAUUGUCGUUCAGAAGAUCCAUUGCUGCUUGAAUUGGCCGAACGAGAGCGCCCGAAUCGAGUCGGAAAGAUAACUACCAUCAUUUCGAUAAAAGGUCGCCAAUCGAAUGGGGACGAAAUAUCUGGCUUUAUUGAUUACGAAGAAAGUCUCAGGAAGACCAUAUUGGAAUUCGAUGAAGAUGCAACCGAUUGGUAUGAAAUAUUCAAGGAAAACAAACGAAUUAUGCCGACAAUGAGUGAUUUAGGAUACUACAACUGGAGCUCGGGUUUUUCAGUUUUGAAUGGCUCCAAAAACUUUAGGGCUAUCGCUGAUCCGAACCAAGGUUUGAUUUUUGAAAGCAAAAACGAUCGACGUCGCAUUUCCACCGAUCCAUUGAAAAAUCCUGGUCACAGCAGUACGAGAACGGUCGUUGAGAACAGCAAUUACGAUCACGUUAUUUUGUUUGACCACGUCGUUAGGGCAAAACUAUAGUUAGGGCAUAGGGCAUGCAUGUCACAUGAAACUAAAUUAUCUACGAAUUUCCGAUUGACUGCUGCCGAUAUAGAAAUUUGAAGUCUGGGAUACUGAUUUUCAAUGCACUAAUAUGUUUGUUCGAAAAAACGUAUCGAAAUAAUCAGCAUUGGGAGUGUUGCAGCAAUAAUAUAAUCAUCAAAAUUCAAGCGAGUCAAAUUGCAAUGCUCAAUAGAAUCGAUCCGAAUAGGAGGGGUAGGUUUCAUUAAAAAAUAUUUCAA